ACCAGACUCCUACGGGAGGCAGCAGUGGGGGAUAUUGCACAAUGGGGGGAACCCUGAUGCAGCGACGCCGCGUGGGUGAAGAAGCGCCUCGGCGCGUAAAGCCCUGUCAGCAGGGAAGAAAAUGACGGUACCUGAAGAAGAAGCCCCGGCUAACUACGUGCCAGCAGCCGCGGUAAUACGUAGGGGGCAGGCGUUAUCCGGAUUUACUGGGUGUAAAGGGGGCGCAGACGGCGAUGCAAGCCAGGAGUGAAAGCCCGGGGCCCAACCCCGGGACUGCUCUUGGAACUGCGUGGCUGGAGUGCAGGAGGGGCAGGCGGAAUUCCUGGUGUAGCGGUGAAAUGCGUAGAUAUCAGGAGGAACACCGGUGGCGAAGGCGGCCUGCUGGACUGCAACUGACGUUGAGGCCCGAAAGCGUGGGGAGCAAACAGGAUUAGAUACCCCCGUAU
rnacentral:rRNA from 1 species